rnacentral:rRNA from 1 species
GUCUUAGCAUGCAAGUCGAGCGGCAAGGGCAGCAAUGCCCCUAGAGCGGCGGACUGGUGAGUAACACGUGGGUGAUCUACCUCGGGGUUGGGGAUAGCCAUUAGAAAUAGUGGGUAAUACCGAAUACGCUGCCUUGACUACGGUCAGGGCAGGAAAGGCGCUACGGCGCCGACCUGAGAUGAGCCCGCGCCCCAUUAGCUAGUUGGUGAGGUAACGGCCCACCAAGGCUAUGAUGGGUAGGCGGCCUGAGAGGGUGUACGCCCACACUGGGACUGAGAUACGGCCCAGACUCCUACGGGAGGCAGCAGCUAAGAAUAUUCCGCAAUGGACGAAAGUCUGACGGAGCGACGCCGCGUGGAUGAUGAAGGCCGGAAGGUUGUAAAAUCCUUUUGUCGGGGAAGAAUAACCAUGGGAGGGAAUGCCCGUGGGAUGACAUGAACCGGCGAAUAAGCCCCGGCUAACUACGUGCCAGCAGCCGCGGUAACACGUAGGGGGCGAGCGUUGUUCGGAAUUACUGGGCGUAAAGGGCAUGUAGGCGGUUUUGUAAGCCUGACGUGAAAUACCAUGGCUCAACCAUGGCACUGCGUUGGGAACUGCGAGACUUGAAUCAUGGAGAGGGAGCUGGAAUUCCAGGUGUAGGGGUGAAAUCUGUAGAUAUCUGGAAGAACACCAGUGGCGAAGGCGAGCUCCUGGCCAAUGAUUGACGCUGAGGUGCGAAAGUGUGGGGAUCAAACAGGAUUAGAGACCCUGGUAGUCCACACUGUCAACGAUGUGCACUAGUGCUGGGGCGGACGCUUCAGUG